rnacentral:rRNA from 1 species
UCCUACGGGAGGCAGCAGUGGGGAAUAUUGCACAAUGGGCGCAAGCCUGAUGCAGCAACGCCGCGUGAGGGACGAAGGCCUUCGGGUUGUAAACCUCUUUUAGCAGGGAAGAAGCGAAAGUGACGGUACCUGCAGAAAAAGCACCGGCUAACUACGUGCCAGCAGCCGCGGUAAUACGUAGGGUGCAAGCGUUGUCCGGAAUUAUUGGGCGUAAAGAGCUCGUAGGCGGUUUGUCACGUCUGCUGUGAAAACCCGAGGCUCAACCUCGGGCUUGCAGUGGGUACGGGCAGACUAGAGUGCGGUAGGGGAGAUUGGAAUUCCUGGUGUAGCGGUGGAAUGCGCAGAUAUCAGGAGGAACACCGAUGGCGAAGGCAGAUCUCUGGGCCGUAACUGACGCUGAGGAGCGAAAGCAUGGGGAGCAAACAGGCUUAGAUACCCUGGUAGUCCAUGCCGUAAACGUUGGGAACUAGAUGUGGGGACCAUUCCACGGUCUCCGUGUCGUAGCUAACGCAUUAAGUUCCCCGCCUGGGGAGUACGGCCGCAAGGCUAAAACUCAAAGGAAUUGACGGGGGCCCGCACAAGCGGCGGAGCAUGCGGAUUAAUUCGAUGCAACGCGAAGAACCUUACCAAGGCUUGACAUAUACGAGAACGCACUGGAGACAGUGAACUCUUUGGACACUCGUAUACAGGUGGUGCAUGGUUGUCGUCAGCUCGUGUCGUGAGAUGUUGGGUUAAGUCCCGCAACGAGCGCAACCCUCGUCCUAUGUUGCCAGCACGUAAUGGUGGGAACUCAUGGGAUACUGCCGGGGUCAACUCGGAGGAAGGUGGGGAUGAGGUCAAAUCAUCAUGCCCCUUAUGUCUUGGGCUUCACGCAUGCUACAAUGGCCGGUACAAUGGGCUGCGAUACCGCAAGGUGGAGCGAAUCCCAAAAAGCCGGUCUCAGUUCGGAUUGAGGUCUGCAACUCGACCUCAUGAAGUCGGAGUCGCUAGUAAUCGUAGAUCAGCAACGCUACGGUGAAUACGUUCCCGGGCCUUGUACACA